AGAUGGCAAUGUGCUUCCUGCGAGAAUGAGAGGAAAACCAGAAACUAGGGGACAUGUGGCUGAGAGAAGAGGGACCAAGAACAUUGGGAAGAAAGCAAAUGACCAGAAUUCCAUUUAAAUUAAUGGAUGAUGCAGAGGACUGAGAGCCAGAAGCUCCAAAGCUCCUAUUCAGACAGUGACAGCAAUCUCCUCCUUGGAACUGAGGUUGAGUGUUCCAAGCCUUCUCAGGACUAGGUGUGCUAGAGUUCUUGACUUACCAAUUCCAAUGCCCACCUCCCUGUUCUCUGACAUUAUCCAAAGAAAAAGUUGGAAGAUGAACAUACCCAAUCCAGCCAGCGUCCUUGCUCACAAAGAACGGCAUGCAGCAGCGAGUUCUUUGUGCACUUCCAAAUGAGCUACAUGGACCAGCUAGGGGAAGGGGAGAAAUCUUACCGUAUGGGUGACUUGGCUGGUUUGAAGCAAUAACAAUAAAAUCCUCCACAUUCAUCAGGCCCAAGAGUUUAAUUUUUAAAGUACCAAAGUGCCCACUGGGAAAUGGUCCAGGCAUCUAGUGAAAGCACGGACUGUGCCAUGCAGAGAGCAGGCUUCAGAUCUGUCUUUAACCCAGCUGGCAAAGAAGGGGAGUGAUGCAGAAAUGGAGGCGGGGAGGCUCAUGUAAUAGGGGAGGGAAGCCCUCCUGCUAGCCCAGCAGUGCUGUGAUGAGAGCUGCACUCAGAAGGGGGAAAUGGGGAAUAUCUUGCAAGACAACUCCGACCUGAA